UUAGCCCUCAAAGGUCCAUGUUCUGGGUCUCAGUCCACUAGGUCCUGUGUUAAUGAGGGUGUAGAGACUUGAAUUAAUUAUAGCAUCUGAGAAGUAAGCCUAAUGGGCGGUCUUUGAGUAAUUGAAUAUUUGUUCUUGGGAGGUAGUUCAUGUAAGAAGUGUUGGUUAUGUAAGCUGAAUGUGCUUCCUGUCUCUGCUUCCUGAAUCAUGAACACCUGAUCAUAAUUCCUCCAUUUCAUGCCAGACUGCUGGGGUGGUCUGCUGGUCUCUAAACUGUGGACCAAAGUUGCUCCUCUCAGGUAUUUUAGUUGAAGUAAUAAAAAGCCAACUAAAAAACAACAUGUAUAUAUUAUUAUACAUCUAGAGUGUAUGCACUCUAAAAUACACUGAAUUUUAUCUGUAUUUAUAGAAUUAUAUAUAACAUAUACAAAUACAAUUCCUAAGUAAGAAAAUCAACUAUAUUGACUAUAUUUAGAUAUAUUCACAUCAUGAUGCCCUCUUACAUAAUUAUCUUACCCAUGCCAGAAAGGAAUAUAGCACUAUUUUAUACCCAAGAAGUAUUGUCUUACAUGGAAAAGUGUAAUCAUGUAAGUACUGAUAUAUCAAAUAUACUGGCUAGACAUUACCAAUUUCUCAUUCAUAUCUCUGUUGAUUUUCAGAAAAAAUUGUGUAUUGUAUACUUCCACAAUUUUCAGCAGUGUUUUUUCUUUUUCAAAUAUUUUAAUUAUUUGAGAGGUAGAGUUACAGAUAGUGAGAGGGAGAGACAGAGAGAAAGGUCUUCCAUCCACUGGUUCACUACCCAAAUGGCUGCAUCAGCCAGAGCUGAGCUGAUCCGAAGCCAGGAGCCAGGAGCUUCUUCUGGGUCUCCCACAUGGGUGCAGGGGCCCAAGGACUUAUGCCAUCUUCUCCUGCUUUCCCAGACCAUAGCAGAGAACUAUAAUUAAAGAAGAGCAGCCAGGACUAGAACGGGCGCCCAUAUGGGAUGGCUGAUGCUGCAGGUGGAGGAUUAACCUACUGCACUACAGCGCUGGCCUCAGCAGUUUCUGACAGAGAGAGAGAGAGAGAGAGAGAGAGAUGUCUUCCAUAUGCUGGUUCACUCUCCAAAUGCCCACAAUAGCUGCAUCUCAGCUGUGUUGUUCCAGGAGCUCAAUCUGGCAAGGACUCGAGUACUUGAGUCAUCAUCGGCUGCCUCCCCAGGCAGGAAUGCCCCCCAGAAUGUACUGGAACUUGGGGACGAGGCUGAGACUCCGUGGACUGCAGAACCAAGAGAAGCCAUAAUGCAGUAUGAGUGGAAUGAUUCUCUAUUAUUGUACCCCCUUCCUUUAAUCUUGCAUAGUACCUCACGGAGAGCAUUCCUGAGAACUCAGGGUUUCUACAGUGAGAAAAGUGAUUUGGAAGAAUGCCUUCCACUUCCCCAUCAUUGUGUGAUCCUUUUUUAGUAGUCUAGCCGCCACGUCAUCCUCCGAGAAGCAUUGGGAGUACCAACAGGGCUAAAUUAGAAACAAAGAAUGAAAGUGGGGCUCAGAGUAACCAUUAUGUAGAUCCUGUGAGUUGCUCUGCAUUUUGGCCAGUGGAGGUGUUAACAACAGAAAGAUCAGGAGAUAGCAUCAUGCUGCAGAAAAUGAGUCCCUGCCUCUUUCAGGCUCGUAUUACACCUCUAAGUAAACUCACUUUUUCAUUAAUAGGGAAUUCUAAAGAAGCUGGGGAAGCAACCGUAAGCAUGUUGGAGGAAAUAAUGGCUGAAAAAUUCCAAACUUGGGAAAGAGGACAAUAUCCAGUUACAGGAAAUAAAGAGGUUGAAGAAAUUCAACCAAAAGAAACCGAUCCCAUUCAAAGGGAACCCUGAUAGGACUUUCAGUAGAUUUCCUAGCAAAAACCCUGAGGCCAGUAGGGAAUUGGCUUAUAUGUUCAAAAUGAAGAAGAAAAAGAACUGCCAAUCAAGAUUACUUUACUCAACAGAGCUGUGGUUUAGAAAUGAGGCAGGAAUAAAAUCCUUCUGAGAAAAACAAGAUAAUGGAGUUCAUCCCCACUAGGCCUACUUUAUGGAAAUGGCUCAACUUGAGUUCUUUAAGGUCAAAUGAAGGGCUGCUAAUUAACAACAACAAAAAAACCCUAUUAAAGUAAAAAACUCAAUGGUAUUUGCAAACAGAAUUUGUAUUAGAAUUUUCUGAUACUAUAAGGGCAGUGCAAAUCGGGAGAGUUAAAAGUCAAAACUAUUGAAAAACAAAUGUAGGUAAACCAUUAACAGAUAUAAUUUUAAAAAUAUUAAUUUUGAUAUCAAAAUAAUAAAAAUGGCAUGGUAGUGGGAAGGAU